GGCCGCAUGCGAAAAUAGAUCUUCGCAUGCGGCCCAUUUAAGCAGCCGCAUGUGAAGAUCUAUUUUCCCAUGCGGUU
rnacentral:pre_miRNA from 13 species